rnacentral:rRNA from 1 species
UGGGGAAUAUUGCACAAUGGGCGAAAGCCUGAUGCAGCAACGCCGCGUGAGCGAUGAAGGCCUUCGGGUCGUAAAGCUCUGUCCUCAAGGAAGAUAAUGACGGUACUUGAGGAGGAAGCCCCGGCUAACUACGUGCCAGCAGCCGCGGUAAUACGUAGGGGGCAAGCGUUAUCCGGAAUUAUUGGGCGUAAAGGGUGCGUAGGUGGUUACCUAAGCGCAGGGUUUAAGGCAAUGGCUCAACCAUUGUUCGCCUUGCGAACUGGGCUACUUGAGUGCAGGAGAGGAAAGCGGAAUUCCUAGUGUAGCGGUGAAAUGCGUAGAUAUUAGGAGGAACACCAGCGGCGAAGGCGGCUUUCUGGACUGUAACUGACACUGAGGCACGAAAGCGUGGGGAGCAAACAGG